AAGUGUUAAGUAGAUUUAUUCUAUAUUUGAUUACGGUUCAUAAGUUUUUAACAUUUUU
rnacentral:tRNA from 1 species